GGGGAAUAUUGCACAAUGGGGGAAACCCUGAUGCAGCGACGCCGCGUGAGUGAAGAAGUACUUCGGUACGUAAAGCUCUAUCAGCAGGGAAGAAGAUGACGGUACCUGACUAAGAAGCCCCGGCUAACUACGUGCCAGCAGCCGCGGUAAUACGUAGGGGGCAAGCGUUAUCCGGAAUUACUGGGUGUAAAGGGAGCGUAGGUGGCGAAGCAAGUCAGAUGUGAAAGCCCGGGGCUCAACUCCGGGACUGCAUUUGAAACUGUUUUGCUAGAGUGCAGGAGAGGUAAGUGGAAUUCCUAGUGUAGCGGUGAAAUGCGUAGAUAUUAGGAGGAACACCAGUGGCGAAGGCGGCUUACUGGACUGUAACUGACACUGAGGCUCGAAAGCGUGGGGAGCAAAC
rnacentral:rRNA from 1 species